CGUGUAGGCGGCCAGAUAGGUCUGCUGUGAAAACUCGAGGCUCAACCUCGAGCUGUCGGCAGAAACCAUCUGGCUAGAGUCCGGAAGAGGAGAGUGGAAUUCCCGGUGUAGCGGUGAAAUGCGCAGAUAUCGGGAAGAACACCUGUGGCGAAGGCGGCUCUCUGGGACGGUACUGACGCUGAGACGCGAAAGCGUGGGGAGCAAACA
rnacentral:rRNA from 1 species